CUGGAGAGAUCGCUACUGAGGCACUUCCACUGUCACCACCUCUCGCUUCUUCCUGGCUCCUUCCUUCAGUUCCCUCUCCUAUCUGACUUCCAGCAUCCAAUAUGGCACCACCUGCAAUCCAGUUACAUAGGCCUCAUUCCAUUACAAUCUUGCCAAUUUUUCAGUCUCAGUAAAUUGAUCUUUAAAUGUCAGUAUGCAGAAGAAUCACCUGAAGAGUUUCUGCAACCACAUAUUAACAGCUAAGAGCAAACCAGACGUUCCUGAUUUCCAGUCCCAGGCUUAAUUAGGUUAGGGUACUUCUCAAUGAAGAAAAAGAAAUGCUACAGAGAACAACCAGCUGAUGAAUCCCAUUUAACUGCCUACAGGAUUUUUAUUGAUACAGGUCCAUAAAACCAACUCCUAGAAUUGUAAUUCCAGGGAGAAUGACAGGAGGAAAAGUACAGAGUGUUUCAACAGCAAUAAAAAGUAUGUUACCAACACAAAGUCUGAUACUCUCCUUUUUUUUUUUUUUUUAAGAUUUCA
rnacentral:lncRNA from 1 species